ensembl:snoRNA
AUCCAAGGGGAUUCCCUCUCCAAGGGAACAUGCAGUGCCCCUCUCAGGAAAGUAACAACCUGGAAUAGAAUCUGGCAUGCCUAAGGUCUUUGAGGAAUAGAGGAAUAGAGGAUGCUUGUUUCCUCUGCCUUCCUUGGCUGCCUACAUGG